rnacentral:rRNA from 1 species
AGUGAACGCUGGCGGCGUGCCUAAUACAUGCAAGUCGAACGGUAACAGGAAGUAGCUUGCUACUUUGCUGAUUAGUGGCGCACGGGUGAGUAAUGCAUAGGUCAUGUGCCCCAUAGUCUGGGAUAGCCACUGGAAAGGGUGAUUAAUACUGGAUACUCCCGAGAGGGGAAAGUUUUUCGCUAUGGGAUCAGCCUAUGUCCUAUCAGCUUGUUGGUGAGGUAAUGGCUCACCAAGGCUAUGACGGGUAUCCGGCCUGAGAGGGUGAACGGACACACUGGAACUGAGACACAGUCCAGACUCCUACGGGAGGCAGGAGUAGGUAAUAUUGCUCAAUGGGGUAAACCCUGAAGCAGCAACGCCGCGUGGAGGAUGAAGGUCUUCGGAUUGUAAACUCCUUUUCUAAGAGAAGAUUAUGACGGUAUCUUAUGAAUAAGCACCGGCUAACUCCGUG